GUACAGCUGACAAGUCCCACACAGAACGAAACAGCUGUCCAGUGU
rnacentral:hammerhead_ribozyme from 1 species